AGUGAACGCUGGCGGUAGGCCUAACACAUGCAAGUCGAACGGCAACACAGAGAAAGUUGGUGCUUACGGGAGGCGAGUGGGGGACGGGAGAGGAGUACAUGGGACUGUACUUUGGCGGGGGGUAACACGUAGGGAAGGUUACGCUAAUAGCGCAAACGACCUACGGGAAAAAGCAGGAGAUCAUGGGACCUUGCGCGCGUAUGUGAGCAGAUGUCGGAUUAGCUAGUUGGGGGGGUAACGGCUCACCUAGGCGACGAUCCGUAGCUGGUCUGAGAGGAUGAUCAGCCACACUGGAACUGAGACACGGUCCAGACUCCUACGGGAGGCAGCAGUGGGGAAUAUUGCACAAUGGGCGCAAGCCUGAUGCAGUCAUGCCGCGUGUAUGAAGAAGGCCUUCGGGUUGUAAAGUACUUUCAUCGGGGAGGAAGGGAGUAAAGUUAAUACCUUGGCUCAUUGACGUUACCCGCAGAAGAAGCACCGGCUAACUCCGUG
rnacentral:rRNA from 1 species